GAGGGUAUAGCUCAGUGGUAGAGCGCAUGCCUAGCAUGCAUGAGGUUCUGGGUUCAAUCCCCAGUCCCUCCA
rnacentral:tRNA from 1 species